UGCGGUCCGUGGGGAACAGGUUGUGUGUGGAGCAGGGUAGUUUGAGGUGUGUGUGUGUGUGUGUGUGUGUGUGUGUGUCACCGUGCGGUCCGUGGGGAACAGGUUGUGUGUGGAGCAGGGUAGUUUGAGGUGUGUGUGUGUGUGUGUGUGUGUGUGUGUGUGUGUCACCGUGCGGUCCGUGGGGAACAGGUUGUGUGUGGAGCAGGGUAGUUUGAGGUGUGUGUGUGUGUGUGUGUGUGUGUGUGUGUGUGUCACCGUGCGGUCCGUGGGGAACAGGUUGUGUGUGGAGCAGGGUAGUUUGACGUGUGUGUGGUCCCAGCGGUCCUGCAGCUGAUCUGGAGAUGGAUGUGGCUCUGGAGCUUCACCGGUCAGCAUCAGAUCAGUC